UAUGUGAUCGUCUCUCGCAUAUCAAUAAGCGGAGGAAAAGAAACUAACAAGGAUUCCCCUAGUAACGGCGAGUGAAGCGGGAAGAGCUCAAAUUUGAAAUCUUAAAGGGUUUCCCGUUACGAAUUGUAGUUUAAAGAAGUGUUUUCUGUUGAGGUUUUGGUAAAAGUUCUUUGGAAUAGGACAUCAUAGAGGGUGAGAAUCCCGUAUUUGACCUUUACUUUCAACUUUGUGAUACACUUUCAAAGAGUCGGAUUGUUUGGGAAUGCAGUCCAAAAUGGGUGGUAAAUUUCAUCUAAAGCUAAAUAUUGGCGAGAGACCGAUAGCGAACAAGUACCGUGAGGGAAAGAUGAAAAGAACUUUGAAAAGAGAGUUAAACAGUACGUGAAAUUGUCAAAAGGGACGCGUUUGACACCAGUGUUGUUUUUCUGAAAAUCAAUUAAAGAACUGUUUAUGCUAAGCUGUUUAGACUUUAUCAGCUAUCUGUUUAGUUUUGAGCUUUUCUUUAAUGCACUUUUCAGUUAACAAGUCAACAUCAAUUUCUUUUGCUGUAAAAAAGCUUGAGGAAGGUGGCUUGAGAUUCGUCUUAAGUGUUUAUAGCCUCUUGCCUAUGCAGUCGGAGAGAUUGAGGUCUGCAGCGUAGAUCCUUCGGGGCUAAAUGCAUUUGUGCUAAGUUAUAGCAUUUCAUAGACAACUUGUUGACUAUGAUUUGUCUUGUAGCUUACUCGCUUAUGUUAUUUUACCUACGCUUAGGAUGUUGAUCUACAGAGCGAGAGU
rnacentral:rRNA from 1 species